UGCAUGUUUACAUGUGUGUGUGUGUGUGUGCGUGUAUAUGUAUGAGUGUGCGUGUGUGUGUGUGUGUGUGUAUGCAUGUGUACGUGUGUCUGUGCGUGUGUACGUCUGUGUGUGAGUGUGUGUGUGCGUAUGCGUGUCUGUGUGUGCAUGUAUAUGUGUGUGUGCGUGUCUGUGUGUGUGUAUGUGUGUGUGUGUAUGUGUACAUGUGUGUGUGUGUGUGUGUAUGUGGGUGUGUGUG
rnacentral:lncRNA from 1 species